GGUAGAGCACUGUUUCGGCUAGGGGGUCAUCCCGACUUACCAACCCGAGGCAAACUCCGAAUACCGGUGAGUGCCAGCGUGGGAGACACACGGCGGGUGCUAACGUCCGUCGUGAAAAGGGAAACAACCCAGACCGUCAGCUAAGGUCCCAAAGUUAUGGUUAAGUGGGAAACGAUGUGGGAAGGCUUAGACAGCUAGGA
rnacentral:rRNA from 1 species